rnacentral:rRNA from 1 species
UACGGAGGGUGCAAGCGUUAUCCGGAUUCACUGGGUUUAAAGGGUGCGUAGGAGGGCAGGUAAGUCAGUGGUGAAAUCUCCAAGCUUAACUUGGAAACUGCCGUUGAUACUAUCUGUCUUGAAUACCGUGGAGGUGAGCGGAAUAUGUCAUGUAGCGGUGAAAUGCUUAGAUAUGACAUAGAACACCAAUUGCGAAGGCAGCUCGCUACACGAAUAUUGACUCUGAGGAGCGAAAGCCAGGGGAGCAAACGGG